AUGAAUUGAUGAAAGGACAAGAUAAUUUGCUUCUGCUUCUGCUUGGUGUAUAAAAUAUAUAUGUGUAUGUGUGUGUAUGUCUGUGUGUGGUCUGUGCAUGUUUGUGUGUGUAUGUGUGUGUGUAUACAGCUGAGAAGGAAAGUAGGGGAGAGAAUGGAACGGAUAUGAGUAUUUACAUCCAUCCGGCUUAAUGUCCUGCGAUCUGGUCUA